rnacentral:rRNA from 1 species
AGGACGAACGCUGGCGGCGUGCUUAACACAUGCAAGUGGAGCGACGAACCAGGGCUUGCCCUGGGGCAGAGCCGCGAACGGGUGAGUAACACGUGGGUUACCUGCCUCGAUGACCGGGACAACCCGAGGAAACUCGGGCUAAUACCGGAUGUGCCCGCAAGGGGAAAGGAAGCUUCGGCCUCCGCAUCGAGAUGGGCCCGCGGCCCAUUAGCUUGUUGGUGAGGUAACGGCUCACCAAGGCUUCGAUGGGUAGCUGGUCUGAGAGGACGAUCAGCCACACUGGGACUGAGACACGGCCCAGACUCCUACGGGAGGCAGCAGUGGGGAAUCUUGCGCAAUGCGCGAAAGCGUGACGCAGCAACGCCGCGUGGGGGAAGAAGGCUUUCGGGUUGUAAACCCUUUCAGUUGGGACGAAGCUUCGACGGUGAAUAGCCGGACGGAGUGACGGUACCUUCACAAGAGCACCGGCUAACUACGUGCCAGCAGCCGCGGU